CCGGGUGGCAGCAGGGAGGAAUAGUGGUCAAGGGACGCAAGGCUGAAACAGCCAGGCCGCGUGAAGGAAGACGGCUAUAUGAGUUGUAAACUGCUUUUGUACGAGGGUAAAUCCCGAUACGUGUAUCGGGUUGAAAGUAUCGUACGAAUAAGGAUCGGCUAACUCCGUGCCAGCAGCCGCGGUAAUACGGAGGAUUCAAGCGUUAUCCGGAUUUAUUGGGUUUAAAGGGUGCGUAGGCGGUUCGAUAAGUUAGAGGUGAAAUCCCGGGGACCAACUCCGGGACCUCCUCUGAGUCUUUCGGGGCAGAGGUUAGUUGCGGUAGGCGGAAUGUAUGGUGUAGCGGUGAAAUGCAUAGAGAUCAUACAGAACACCGAUUGCGAAGGCAGCUUACCAAACUACGACUGACGUUGAGGCACGAAAGCGUGGGGAGCAAACAGGAUUAGAUACCCCUGUAGUC
rnacentral:rRNA from 1 species